rnacentral:lncRNA from 10 species
GCAAGUUCCGCCUCCCGGGUUCACGCCUUUCUCCUACCUCAGCCUCCCUAGUAGCUGGGACUACAGGUGCCUGCCACCACACCUGGGUAAUUUUUUGUAUUUUUAGUAGAGACUGGGUUUCACCGUGUUAGCCAGGAUGGUCUUGAUUUCCUGACCUCAUGAUCGGCUGCCCGCCUCGGCCUCCCAAAGUGCUGGAAUGGUUUUAUCACUGCAGUCAAACAAGGAGAAAGUCUGCAAGGAGAAAAAAAGAAAGAAGAGAAAGAAAAUUUCAAGAAGUUAAUGAUUGUAAAGAGAAAUUAAAAGAAUAAAUGAAGAAAAAUAAAAAAUUUUUGAAAUAAUUUUAAAAAUCUAGUAAUGAUCUUCUUUGACUCUUUGUACGGCUUUUGAUUUGAAGUCUGUAUUUUAUCUGAUGUAAGUAUAUCCUCUCUUGUUCUCUUUUAGUUUCCAUUUGGAAGGAGUAUUUUUUUUUUUUACAUAAUUUAACUUUGUGUUUUUACUGUGAAAAUGAGUUUCUUAUAGUGAGCAUAGACUUAAGUCUUUUUUUUUUAAUCCGUUAAGUCGGUCUUUAUCUUUUAAUUGGGAAUUUGAACCAUUUUGAUUCAAAAUUGCCAUUCAUAGGUGCGAACUUACUCCUGUCAUUUUGUUAUUUUCUCAUUGUUUUCAUAUCCUUUGUUCCUUUUUUCCUCUCUUAUUCUUUUUGUGGUUUGGCGGUUUUAUAUAAUGAUAAC